rnacentral:rRNA from 1 species
GACGAACGCUGGCGGCGUGCUUAACACAUGCAAGUCGUACGACAGCAUUUCCUUUUAGGUUGUGUUUGGAGUGGCGAACGGGUGAGUAACACGUGAGUGACCUGCCCUUCACUUUGGGAUAACGUGCGGAAACGUGCGCUAAUACCAAAUAUUCGCAUUUCUGCUGCAUGGUGGGGUGUGGAAAGGGGCCUUCGGGUUCGUGGUGGGGGAGUGGGCGUCGCGGCCUAUCAGCNGUGUUGGUGGGGUGAUGGCCUACCAAGGCGUGGACGGGUAGCCGGCCUGAGAGGGUGUUCGGUCACACUGGGACUGAGAUACGGCCCAGACUCCUACGGGAGGCAGCAGUGGGGGAGUUUUGCACAAUGGACGAAAGUCUGAUGCAGUGACGCCGCGUGGGGGAUGACGGCCU